AACGAACGCUGGCGGCAUGCCUAACACAUGCCAGUCGAACGAGACCUUCGGGUCUAGUGGCGCACGGGUGCGUAACGCGUGGGAACCUGCCCUUAGGUUCGGAAUAACUCCCCGAAAGGGGUGCUAAUACCGGAUAAUGUCUUCGGACCAAAGAUUUAUCGCCUUUGGAUGGGCCCGCGUUGGAUUAGCUAGUUGGUAGGGUAAAAGCCUACCAAGGCGACGAUCCAUAGCUGGUCUGAGAGGAUGAUCAGCCACACUGGGACUGAGACACGGCCCAGACUCCUACGGGAGGCAGCAGUGGGGAAUAUUGGACAAUGGGCGAAAGCCUGAUCCAGCAAUGCCGCGUGAGUGAUGAAGGCCUUAGGGUUGUAAAGCUCUUUUACCCAGGAUGAUAAUGACAGUACCGGGAGAAUAAGCUCCGGCUAACUCCGUG
rnacentral:rRNA from 1 species